AUCCAUCUGACGAGUCCCAAAUGGGACGAAAGGCGUGUCCUAUAU
rfam:Schistosoma haematobium scaffold637_1, whole genome shotgun sequence.